CAUUCUACUUCUGCAGGCGCCAGUUAUGCUAAUCGGCGCAGAAGGCGCCGACUAGGAGCACCCGUCGUUUCGUUCGGACAACUUCCACAACUCCCACGACCCUGUGUCACGACUGAUGACCGAUGCCGGAGGGAGGAUCCAUGGGGACCGCGCCUAGGUUCAGGGCGGGUCUGCCUCACAUGGGGCCGAGGCGCCCGACGAGGUUGUCUUCUGGCAAUUCCACGAUGUCGUGCCCGAGCCAGCGGAUCAUCCGCUGUCGAUUUAACUCUGUCGAUUCAGUAAUUGAAUCACGAUUACAGGAGGCCAUUAAUGGCAAUGGAUGUGAGAGGCCGGCGGAUAAUUGCAGGUUCUCUGAUCUCGAUCGAUUGGAUCUCGGUUUCACGGUUGGCUGAUUCUGCUGCAUUGAAAGGCGAGGCACUGCUUUCACCAUAAUGAUUUCUUGCAUGAGAAUAAUACAUGCUUAAACGCAGCAUCUUCCAAUUGUUCAAAGUGCUAAUAGUUACAACCUGAGAUUACUUGCUCGGGUCCUUCUUUCACAAAGUACAGAGAUGACUUCAGAGUAACCAUGUUCUUUUCAGCUUUUCUAUUCUACAUAAACAACUUGAGGAUGGUAUGGAUCAGGGUCUUCUGUUUGAAGCUUUUCUGUUCUAAAUAAACGACAUGAGGACGGUGAGGAUCAAUUCAUAUUUGUCCUGCUUUUGAAGUCCCUCUGUAUUGGGGAAUGCCUUGCUUUCUAGGAAUGCAAAGGUGAAGGUAGACCACUUGUAUUAAGCAAUCACAACAGUAUACAAUCAACAGGAUUCAACUCAACGACACCUGGGGGAUCAGAGCACAAUCAACUUAUAUUUCUACUUUCUAAGCAAGCAGAGUUUGCCAGAAAGUUGCUAACUUUAUUUUGGGAGCGCCUAACAUGAGUAAUACUAAUUAUACGAAGACUCAAGAGGUGCUUUAUUUCUUUCACCAAAAAGGAACACACCGAUCUAUCCAUGUCGCUGGUUUGAAUCAUAUUUGUAACUUAAGAGAGACCACUUCAAUCACCACGGGAAGGUCACUCCUCUGAAGGCCAAUGAUAAGCCCUGCCUACAAGCACAUAAGUCUGAUUCUAAAUCAUCCCCGUAGGAGAAAAGUUCUAUGCAAGAAGGAAAAAAAUAGGUCCGGUGUCAUCUCAUAACACCAUGCCAGCUCCAGCUCUUCCAUCUGAAGAUAGCGAUCCAUCAGAAUUAAUUUUCACCCAACCCGAAGGGGGGUAGAUCGACAACCAGCCUAACUCUAUAAAAAGUAGGAUAUGUUAUGAUUGUCCAACAGUUGUGUUGUAUAUUGGGAUUAAUUGAAUGUGCUUUGCUUUAUGCUAUUAAUUAGGAUGUAAGUCAUACCAUGUGGCAUCCUGCUAAGAGCAAGGCAUUUUAAUUCCAACUGUUCAUUUAUACGGUUUAAA